rnacentral:sRNA from 1 species
CUUGGUCAUUUAGAGGAAGUAAAAGUCAUAACAAGGUUUCCGUAGGUGAACCUGCGGAAGGAUCAUUAAUAGUGCCCAUUGAUGCAAAUCAUUGGGUUAGAUCUGCCCUUAUCGCAAGAUGAGGGCUUCCAUAUACACCGUGAACUGUGGCUUCGGCCAUCACAAACUGUUAGUAAUGAAUGUAAUAUCAUAACAAAAACAAAACUUUUAACAACGGAUCUCUUGGCUCUCGCAUCGAUGAAGAACGCAGCGAAAUGCGAUAAGUAAUGUGAAUUGCAGAAUUCAGUGAAUCAUCGAAUCUUUGAACGCACCUUGCGCCCUUUGGUAUUCCGAAGGGCAUGCCUGUUUGAGUGUCAUGAAACCUCACCCCACUUAGGUUUUUGCCUAAGCGGUGGUGUAUUGGGUGUUUGCCUUGCUAAAGGCUCGCCUUAAAGAUAUAAGCACCUUGGAUGUAAUACGUUUCAUCCUUCUGGGUGGCUGAUAACCCCACAUAUUCAUGAUCUGGCCUCAAAUCAGGUAGGGCUACCCGCUGAACUUAAGCAUAUCAAUAAGCGGAGGAAAAGAAACUAACUAGGAUUCCCUUAGUAACGGCGAGUGAACCGGGAUGAGCUCAAAUUUAAAAUCUGGCGUCUUUCAGGCGUCCGAGUUGUAAUCUAUAGAGGCGUUUUCCGCGCCGGACCGCGUCCAAGUCUCUUGGAAUAGAGUAUCAAAGAGGGUGACAGUCCCGUACUUGACGCGACAACCGGUGCUCUGUGAUACGUUCUCAAUGARKSGRGUUGUUUGGGAAU